rnacentral:lncRNA from 1 species
GGGGGGGGGGGUUAUACGAAGGUUUCAAAUCAAAGCUUUCUUGCUGGAGUUUAGCCGCAGCAUCUUUAAGUUUCUACAGCAUGAUUUUAUAAGUUAUUUAACUCCGAGGACUGUUUUACCUUUUUUCCUUGAAAUUCUCAUUAUGUUUCAUCUAAUCUUUUAGGUUUUUGACUGAUGUCAGACUGCAUAAAUUUUAAAUCCUCUUUUAGUCAUGUGCUGUUAUUGAUUGAUCGGUGCAUAAUGCUUUCCUAUUGGGCUUUCUAUUCUGAUAGUUUUUGAUGCUUUAUAGUUUAUGGUUUCUUUUGUGAGUGGUUAAAGCAUUGCUUUAUCAAAUCUUAGGUUCCAUUUUCUCAUUUCUUUGAUGCUUAAUCGCAAGGAGUUUAUUUUUGGAACAUGAUGGUGGCAUCUGCCAUGGUUAUGGCAGUUGCAUCUCCCUGCUUCUUUGCAUCCAAGUUCAAAAAAUGUUGGAUUUAACAUUAUAUGGUUGAAGUAUUUUGAUUUUUGUUGAUUCUGUUGCAUAUAUUUGAGUCAGUGCUAGCCUAAUGAUUGAUUCUUAUAAGAACGGAGAUCCAAAUGAUGCUCUCUGUUGAAGUCUGAUAAGUUUGGGCUCCAGAGGGAUCUGUGUAGAGUACUCUAUAGCAUAUGAAGGCAAGCAUGAUUGUGGUUCGUUCAUCUGUUUCUGCAUUUAAAAGAAACUAUCAUUUGUUUUUAAUUUCUAUUUAUUUGAGUUUCUCCUGUAGUAACUUGACUUGGAACUGAAGUCAUUACAAGCAGCCUUAAGGGAUAGCUUGCUCUCAAAAUAUUGGUUUUAGAGUUUUGAAGGAACAUAAUAUAUAAUUUUUAUUCAUCAUUUUUCACAGUGUUCUGCCUUUAUUGGAUUAUGUUGGCGGUAUUCUGGGAAUAUUUUUUGAGAGUUUUGAAGGAACGCUAUAUAUAUAUUGAUUAUAUGUCAAUUUUAUCCAUCAUCUUUAACUGGGUUAUGCUUUUCCUGUGUUAUGUUGGUGGUUUUAAAAGGACGCCGCUAUCUCAAUGCCUGUUCAAGGGGGUGGCUAUGAAAUAGGUGAUUUUUAUUGUCUAUAUACUUGAAUUACAUGGUAGGAGCUUUUGGUGGUUGGAAAGAUCAGUUUUGCUGAAUAACGGUCACCAAUCUGAAAGCUUUAAACUUCAUAUUAGUGGAGAAAUUGUAUGGGAUGUCUUUAUUUUGUUUUCAAGGAAAUGAUAUAUUCUGUUUGAUUUUGUAAUGCAAAAUGCUUCUGUGCUGGCAUAUUUCUUUAGAUGACCAUAACCAUAGUAAUUGCAAGCUGAAGUAGAUGGGAUUUGAAUUCCAUGUGAUUUGCUGAUUCUGACCUGAAUUUUAGAAAUUGCAGAAUGCUAAAAUUAAAGUUUUUUCUGAUAUCUGAGUAAAUAGGGACUUCUAGAUUGUUAUCAUCUGGCCAACUGUUCAUCUCUUCAUCUCAGACAAUCAUCAUGGGGUCCAACAUGCUGUAUACUUUGAUCUACUGAAGUCGAGGAACAGGGUCGGUAGCUCUGUCUUCUUGGACAUGCUGUCACCGAUGCAUCAUAAUUAUUUUAUAUUCUCAUAGAUUCACAUUUUGGAAUGUAUACGUUUUAUGUAGCGAUUAUUUCCCUAUCGAGGAAAAUGUAUACUUUGCAAGAAAAAUUAAAUGCACACCAAUCGUUUGCUUGCAUGUUUAUCAUUUUCAGGAUCCUCAAUUUUUGAAAGCUUCGGGGUAACAAUCUAGAUGUUGUAAGCUAAUUUAUGCAUUUGAUGAGACUUAUAGCAGAAUCAGAUGACGACAGAAGUCAAAGAAUUAAACUGUUGAUUGGGAGUUUACUUGGGGCCAACGGGCCCCUUUAUCUCACAAAAAAUGGUUAAAUGACAUUAGACCCCAUUAUCUCAUAAAAAAGGGUUAAAGACAUUAGACAUGGCCUAUAAUUCAGAAGUACUCUAUCUUGAUGAAUACUCAUAACUUGGCGGAAGGAGAAGAAAACCAAAGUUCUGUAAAUAUGCCCAAUUAAAAUGCUAUACAAGCAUUGAACGGGUUUUUAUU